rnacentral:rRNA from 1 species
UACGUGGGUGGCAAGCGUUGUCCGGAAUUAUUGGGCGUAAAGCGCGCGCAGGCGGUCCUUUAAGUCUGAUGUGAAAGCCCACGGCUCAACCGUGGAGGGUCAUUGGAAACUGGGGGACUUGAGUGCAGAAGAGGAGAGUGGAAUUCCACGUGUAGCGGUGAAAUGCGUAGAGAUGUGGAGGAACACCAGUGGCGAAGGCGACUCUCUGGUCUGUAACUGACGCUGAGGCGCGAAAGCGUGGGGAGCAAACAGG